rnacentral:rRNA from 1 species
GAUGAACGCUGGCGGCGUGCCUAAUACAUGCAAGUCGAGCGAAUGGAUUAAGAGCUUGCUCUUAUGAAGUUAGCGGCGGACGGGUGAGUAACACGUGGGUAACCUGCCCAUAAGACUGGGAUAACUCCGGGAAACCGGGGCUAAUACCGGAUAAUAUUUUGAACUGCAUGGUUCGAAAUUGAAAGGCGGCUUCGGCUGUCACUUAUGGAUGGACCCGCGUCGCAUUAGCUAGUUGGUGAGGUAACGGCUCACCAAGGCAACGAUGCGUAGCCGACCUGAAUGGGUGAUCGGCCACCCUGGGACUGAGACACGGCCCAGACUCCUACGGGAGGCAGCGGUAGGGAAUCUUCCGCAAUGGACGAAAGUCUGACGGAGCAACGCCGCGUGAGUGAUGAAGGCUUUCGGGUCGUAAAACUCUGUUGUUAGGGAAGAACAAGUGCUAGUUGAAUAAGCUGGCACCUUGACGGUACCUAACCAGAAAGCCACGGCUAACUACGUGCCAGCCGCCGCAGUAA